UACGAAGGGGGCUAGCGUUGUUCGGAAUUACUGGGCGUAAAGCGCGCGUAGGCGGUGAUCUUUGUCAGAGGUGAAAUCCCGAGGCUCAACUUCGGAAUUGCCUUUGAAACGGGAUUGCUUGAGUCCGAGAGAGGAUGGCGGAAUUCCUAGUGUAGAGGUGAAAUUCGUAGAUAUUCGGCGGAACACCAGUGGCGAAGGCGACUCACUGGCCCGAUACUGACGCUGAGGCGCGAAAGCGUGGGGAGCAAACAGG
rnacentral:rRNA from 1 species